AAAGCGAUGGGGGUGACGCAGGAAGGUAGCUGGGCCAGUCAGUGGUUGUACUGGUGUAAGAGUGUAGGCCGUGACAUAGGCAAAUCCGUGUCACAUUAAGGCUGAGACUUGAUGCAUACCCGUUGUGGGGAAUUCAGUGAUCCUAUGCUGCCGAGAAAAGCCUCUAGUGAGUUCAUACACGGCCCGUACCCCAAACCGACACAGGUGAUCAGGUAGAGAAUACCAAGGCGAUCGAGAGAACUGUGGUUAAGGAACUCGGCAAAAUGCCCCCGUAACUUCGGGAGAAGGGGGACCAUGCCCGGUGAACAUCUUCACGGUGGGAGCUGGGUGUGGUCGCAGAGACCAGAGAGAAGCGACUGUUUACUAAAAACACAGGUCCGUGCGAAGACGUAAGUCGAUGUAUACGGACUGACGCCUGCCCGGUGCUGGAAGGUUAAGAGGACCGGUUAGCCGUAAGGCGAAGCUGAGAAUUUAAGCCCCAGUAAACGGCGGUGGUAACUAUAACCAUCCUAAGGUAGCGAAAUUCCUUGUCGGGUAAGUUCCGACCUGCACGAAUGGCGUAACGACUUCUCUGCUGUCUCGACCACAGACUCGGCGAAAUUGCACUACGAGUAAAGAUGCUCGUUACGCGCGGCAGGACGAAAAGACCCCGGGACCUUUACUAUAGCUUGGUAUUGGCGUUCGAUUCGGUUUGUGUAGGAUAGGUGGGAGACUGUGAAGCAUGCACGCCAGUGUGUGUGGAGUCGUUGUUGAAAUACCACUCUGAUCGUAUUGGACGUCUAACCUCGGCCCAUGAUCUGGGUUAGGGACAGUGCCUGGUGGGUAGUUUAACUGGGGCGGUUGCCUCCUAAAGAGUAACGGAGGCGCCCAAAGGUUCCCUCAGCCUGGAUGGCAAUCAGGUGUUGAGUGCAAGUGCACAAGGGAGCUUGACUGUGAGACUGACACGUCGAGCAGGGACGAAAGUCGGGACUAGUGAUCCGGCACCGGCAAGUGGAAGCGGUGUCGCUCAACGGAUAAAAGGUACCCCGGAGAUAACAGGCUGAUCUUCCCCAAGAGUCCAUAUCGACGGGAUGGUUUGGCACCUCGAUGUCGGCUCGUCGCAUCCUGGGGCUGGAGUAGGUCCCAAGGGUUGGGCUGUUCGCCCAUUAAAGCGGCACGCGAGCUGGGUUUAGAACGUCGUGAGACAGUUCGGUCUCUAUCCGCCGCGCGCGUAAGAAACUUGAGGAAGGCUGUCCCUAGUACGAGAGGACCGGGACGGACGAACCUCUGGUGUGCCAGUUGUUCCACCAGGAGCAUGGCUGGUUAGCUACGUUCGGAAGGGAUAACCGCUGAAAGCAUCUAAGCGGGAAGCCUGUUCCAAGAUGAGGUUUCUCACCACCUUGCGUGGUUAAGGCCCCCUACAGACCAUGGGGUUGAUAGGCCGGAACUGGAAGCGCAGCAAUGCGUGGAGGUGACCGGUACUAAUAGGCCGAGGGC
rnacentral:rRNA from 1 species